GAAAAUAAUGUGAGAGGAGGGCCGAAGACACACGGCUUUGUUUGCUCCACCCAUAGCAACCGAGAAAACAUACACAGACUGCAGGAAAGUUUCAGCCUGGGACACUGACGGAGAUCACACACAGCGGAAAGUUCCUUGAAGAACAAUGUGGAUGCCUCCUCCUGCUGCUUCCCUCUAGUGUGGGCAACGAUAACUGCAUCACCCUGGACUGCACUUAGAGAGGCAAAGUUUUCUAUCCAAGGUGCCCUGUUUUAAUCUGGAAGAACUGGAAACUACUUCUGCUGAUACAAAGAGUCUUUGCUUUGCUUUACACAAUCUUGGGUGCACUUUCCAGCAGCUGCCAACAUGAUGAAUGAAGAGUGAAUGCAGUUUGUGGUUUUGCAGCUUUGCCAAACUUGUGCAGAGUUCUUGCUUCGUGGGCGUCAGUAGCCAACGUAAAGACAAACUCACUUCUCUUUUUUUUUUGCAUAACGAGGUAUGGUGGUUUUUCUCUUCUGUGUUUUUAAUCAUUUUCGAGAGGGAUGUUUAACAACAUCUUUGCAAACCCGGUGGCUCAUUUUACAAGAUGUAAAUGAGUCAGCUCUUAUCUUCUUCAGCUUGAUUAAAAUGUGUUUAAUCGUAAUAUUAUCCAACACCACAUCUUUGGGAAAUACCCAACGAACCAGACACCUCCAGACACAGACCUGACUCAUCACCCCCCCACACACACUGCAGACAUUAUAUACAAACUUUAUUUUUACCAAUGCUCCGCUUAAUUCCCUUCCUUCCUUUUUUUCUCCAUCGUUUCCCAUUUAUCUCAGACAGUCGUAGACAAAAAAAUACAUCCAUUGAUGUGCAAAGAUGCACAUUUCAAGUCAGGUUAUUUAAAACUCAGGGACAGAAGUCCUGCAUUUUGCCACUUUGGGUGUCCAAUUUAGAAAUAUGGUGUUACUACAGAAUCCCAUUUCCCAUUUUCUGACAACAGUGAAGUAAAUGGAAGUUCUCCUUUUGUCACAGUUCAUUCAGUGGACGUCACAUAAGUAUUCCACAUAAUGAAUCCAAACAGUGCAUUGAAACAUACUGUACAUUUUCAGUAUAAAACAUCCUCCUUUCUCAUCAUAUACAUGACGAUUAAAUGGAUUGGAUUGUGAUGCUUUAGCAGACUCCCUUCCACUCUAUUCACAGUAAUCAAAUCCAUCUCUUAUUUCACCAACUGGCACUGACUUUAAGCCUUUCCCUUCUCCAUCUCCAUCUCCCUCUCACGACAACAGGCCGUCAGCUAUCAUGCCAGCGCUCCUCUUCCCCCUGCUGCUCCUGUUUCCAUUCGAGUAAAAGCUCCUGGCGCUACUGCAUUAGCGAGACACGGAUUCACCAUUUGACGCUCAUCCACAACAGCAUGUGGAAUCAAAGUCUAUAAAAAGAACAUUCUUCCGCACAAACAGCUCAAAUCAUUGCAGUUUCAUGCAUGCCAGAGAUGGUUUGAUCAUGUCGACAGGUGAGUCACUUCUAAAUAAAAUCAAAUCUUCCUACUGCAUCGCUGAAUCUGCAGUCAGAAUCAGACAUCAGCACCAUCUCUGCUCCCUCGCAGCGUUACUCAUGUCAAGUGACCCAGCGUUCCCGAAUCCGUAUGACAUUGAUUUAUUCCCGUAAAUAUAGCACUUCCUCGGGAAUAUCACAGCAAGCAGGAAACAGAUUGGUCAGAAGGUGUGUGCGAUAACAGAGGUGGAAACAGUGAGCAACACGACAAAUAAUAGAAAGACUGAGAUCUGUAAGCAUGUGGGCAACGUGGGACAUAUUACAGAGCGCUGAUGUCGCUGGAAGUCAUCUCAUCCUGUAAUUCAUAUGAGCUCAACAUGCUGUACAGAUAAGGAAAUAGCACAUGAAAACACAUAAACAAAAUGUCAGCACACAAACCUAUAAAAAAGAUUAACAAACUGCAGCAUGGAGGCUGAGCAAAAUGCAAAAAACUAACAAGUUUGCAGUUUUGCAGUCCAUUCUAGUAAGUGUACGACAAGCACAUACUGGUUCAAGUCAUCAUAUUAGUGGUUACAGUUACACCCAAAGGUUAGUUCCUAAUUCACGCCCAAUUAAAAACAACUCACUGAAGGGCCUUCAUCCCUGACAACAUGCUGUCAAGUCAGAGGAGAAACAACAGAGGUGUAAAAUAGGGGGAUAGAAGCAGAAAAAAAAACCUGAACUGAGAUUUUAUCAUUUCUGUAAUAUUUUGUGGUCUAGAUUUUAGUGGCAAAGUGCUCUAACCCACAACCCAAAUAUAGCAUUACAGUGAAGUGUUAGACCAUUCUUGAAAACACUAAAUUUUCAACCCAUUUUUCUCAAAACUACAGAAAGUGGGUUAGACCACUCUGCUUCCAAACGCUUACUGUCUAAAAGGUUGCAGAAAUGAUCCAAAAUGUGUCCAAAAUGACUUGAAAAUGAUCUAGAUUUACAUAAAAUUUUCCAGAAAUGAUCUAAAAUGACGAAAAUGUCUUUAGAAUGACAUGAAAAUAGUCUAAAAUGACUGGAAAAUUAUCCAACAUCAGUCAGAAUUUCUCUCAAAAUAUUAAAAGUGAUCCAGAAUGCAUGAAAUUUUGCAGAAUGACACUGAAUUUUGUUCAAGAUGCUUUGAAAAUCAUCCGAAAUGACUCAAAAAUUGGUCUGAAAUGACUUGAAAAUGACCCAAAAUUGCAGUAAAAUUGUUCAGAAUCACACAAAAAUUGUCAGAAAUUACAAAAAUCUUCCCAGAUUGACUUCCAAAUGUACAAAAUGACUCCAGAUUUGUCAAAAAAUACUUAAAUCUGUUCAGCAUGAAAUGAAAAUAAUUUAAAAUGACUGAAAACUUGCAGAAUGACAUGAGGGGGUUAGAAGCAGAGUGGUCUAACACACAUAAAAUCUGAACUGAGUUUUAUAUAAUUUCUGUAAUAUUUUAUGUUGUAGAUUUUAGUGGCAAAGUGGUCUAACCUACAACCCAAGUAUAGUUACAGUGGAAUGUUAGACCAUUCUUGAAAACAUGGAAGUAUAAAGUAGCACAAAAUGGAUAUACUCAAGUAAAUUAAAAGUAGCUUAAAACUGUUUGUAAAAAUUUUGAGGUUAGGGAGAGUUACGACGGGAAAGAUGUGAGGUCAUCAGGCGUCCUGAAAUAAUCUUAAGAUUAAAGCUGCCCUGUUUUGACACGUGCAGAUGACAUAAACGUGGGGCUGAAUGGUCUGAACAUGCUCACAUCGUCUUUAAAAGAAGCUCCAGUCAGCCAGAUUAACUGAAAACACGUCAGGGGUGUGUAACGCCUUUAAGCAGACUUCUGAGGAGAUCGUUUACAUUUUUAUGACAUCUAAUGCGUUUCCGUCAACCUACAGAGUAAAAUAUUAAACUUUUCAUUGUCUAAUUUGACUCUAGGCAUCAGAAUCAAGAUGCAAAUAAUAUAUACGAUGCAUUUAUUUGAUACCUGACAGUAUAAAUGUGCUGAAAGAGUUCAACUUCAUACCUACAAUAUUUAAUAGCAGAUCAGAAAUGAAUGCAUCAGUAAGAGCUGAGUAAUAUUACAACACAGACAGGAGCUUUUCUGCUGCCUACCAAAUACUUUCUGUUCUUUACGUACAGUUUUAAUUUAUAUUUGGUGGUUUUAUUGUUAACUUGAGUAAAAGUAGUACUAAAUGUUGCAGUAGAUGUAGUACUGGAGUUACAAAUAAAGGUGUUGAAAUCCAAUUUUUGCCAAAGUGAAAGUAUAAAAGUACUUAAUAUAUCAAAAUAAAAGCUCUCAUUCAUGUGUAGAAUUUCAGAAUUAGCUAAUAUAUACCUCAGAAUGAUGUCUAUUCAAUCAUUAGAUUUUAAUUAUUGAUGCAUUUGUAUAUGUUUCAGUGUAAUGCUUGUGUGUAGUUGGUAAAAGUGAGUUUAAUUACCCUGUAUACUAAUUAGUAGUUACACAGAAUACAUCAUACUUCAGGAAUUGAUUAUAUUUUUAAUUAAAGUAACUAGAGACAAAAGCUUUAAAAUAAUUGUAGUAGAGUAAAAAGUGCACUUUCCUCUGAAAUGUUCAAAAUUGUACUCGUAAAUGUACUUUCUGUACCAAUACUAAAUAAUAAAUACACCCAAUAUACUCAUAUAUUCUUGUUUUUAUGUUAUGUAUCUCUAUUUUAUGCUGCUUUGUUCAUUAAGUUCAUGACAUUUUAAAAGAAAAUAAUGUAUUUUUGUGCUAUAGCAGCACUUUGCUAUGUAGAGUCUGAUUUACAACAAGCGCAUACCGGUUCAGCUCAUCAUAUCAGUGGUUACAAUUAAACCCAAAGGAUAGUUCCUAAUUAAAAACAAGCUGAACCCACCAAAGGGCUUUCAUCCCUGACAACAUGCUGUCAUGCUUGAAAACACAAAAAUUUGAACCCAUUUUUCUCAAAAACGACAGAAAGCAGGUUAGACCACUCUGCUUCCAAAAACCCUUCAUUUCAUCUCUCAUGUUCAUAUUUUAUUUGCUGUGUGAGGGUUUAAGACUACAGUUUUUACAGGAAUUUUAAUGUAUUACAGUUUUACAAAUCAUAAGGAUUUCCUUUGAUUCAUUAUUUAAUCAGAGAAUUAAAGUGAAUUAAUUUACAGCUAGCGCUAAAGUUACUUUGUUGUGCUGUAAAAGUAGUAAAAUGAACAUGCAGGUGCUUAAAGACCUAAUCCUAAUGUAUACAUAACGGAAAGCUGCAGUAUUAAAGCUUAAAUCACAAGAUUAGUGAUUAAUACAGAAAGCAAUCUUAGAUAAUAACUCAGUUUAGAUUAUUCAGCUGGUCUGAUAUUACUCAAUGCUGAAGCUGAUCAAACCGCUGCAGUAAAUGAAUCACAUUUCAAGUUAUUACUCCCUAAACAUUGUGCUUUACAAUCAGCUCAAAAGUGUGUCAUAUUGAAUAAUACAUAUAACAUGCAGCUUCAGUUGACCACUUUAUGAGCUCAGCUUGUCAAACUUUGUGUAAGUUUAGUCUGUUGCCUGUUUUAUAAGGCAAUCUCAAACAUGUCUGUCUGCCUUGAGGCUCUAUUUUUGUUUUAGACACCAAUUUAUUGCGCUCUGUUGAACAGUCACUUAUAAAUGCUAAUAACAUCCAUAAUUGCAGGUAAAAAUAAAAUUUAGAUUCCAGGUUUCCAGACUCGUUCCCCUCACUGCCACUGCUUUUAAUCAAUGGCGUGAUGCGCUGCUGCUGGACAGCUAUUUUAGACUGAUGAUGGACUGACUGUCAACAGCUCUGAUGUCUUCUGAGUCACUGUCUGUCCUUAAAACUCAGCGUCCAAACAGUCGGACGCUUCUCACCUCCACAGACUGAGUCUCGGCUGUAAAAUAUCACAGAACUGUUCACAACCAAACCUCAAGCCACAUCCUUACUGUAAGAGACGGGAGGGCACGGAAGUCUUAUUUUAAGGCGAUUGCUUGUCUUAGUUUGACUUAGAAAAAGCAGAAACGGCAUCAUAAAUACCAAAUCAUUUUUAGCUAACAGUGCCACCAUUCAAAAUGUUGCUCAAGCAAAAAAUAUUUUAAAAAAUCAAGGCUUUCUUUAAAGAUCAAGUGAAAUUAUUUGCAAUAGACCUGACCUGCUAUGGAUAAAUUAUUGCAUAUCAUCUGACUAUUAUUAAUACUGAUUUAUUGUGGUGUGUCAGUAGCAUUUUAAUGUUGCAGCUGGUCAAAAUGGAGUUAAUAAACAAUGUAUUUUGGAUUGUUAAACGUUCAAAAUAAGAUGUAUUUAUAUUUAUGAACUGCUUUCUAUGGAAAAUCAGAAUCUGCAAAGCAACGUGCUGCUAUAGCACAAAAAUACAUGAUUUUCUUUUAAAAUGUCAUGAACUUAAUGUACAAAAUAGCAUAAAAUAGAGAUGCAUAACAUGAAAACAAGAAUAUGUGAGCAUAUUGGGUGUAUUUACUAGUUGGUAUUGUAUACAAUUUUGAACACUUCAGAGGCAAGUGCACUUUUUACUCCACUAAAAAUUAUUUUAAAGCUUUUGUCUCCAAUUACUUUAAUAAAAAAUAUAAUCAGUUCCUAAAGUAUGAUGUAUUAUAUAUCAGCCCGAUAUAAGAUAAGAUAAUCCUUUAUUUAUCUGUAUAUUGGCAUAAAAAUUUAAUAUCGGUCAAUAUUGUUAUCGGGGUUUUUUUGGCUUUCAUGAAAACUGACAAAAUUCUUAUUUUGGAAAGACAGUGUUUGCAUUUGGAAAGGUUUGUUGCAUUUGAGAAUGCAUCUAAUGGGGCAUCACAUGAUGUGUUAAUUCCACGACAGGAGUUAUGUGAUGUUACCUAAACUUAGUUAAAUCACCCACAUAUAUCGGUAUCGGUUGAUAUCGGAAUUGGAAAUUGAGAGUUGGGCAAUAUCGGCAUAUCGGUUAUUGGCAAAAGAGUCAAUAUCGGACAUCCCUAAUAUCUAUACAAGUACUGUACAAAAGUAACAUUUUGAGCUACUUGUAAUUUACUUGAGUAUUUCAUUUUGUGCUAUUUUAUACUUCCACUUCACUACAUUUCAGGGGAAAAUACUGUACUAUAUACUUCCUACUCCCCUAUAUUUCUCUGACAGCUUUAGUUAUUUUUAAGAUGAAGAUUAGACACAAUGGAUAAUAUAGGAAGCUUUAAGGAUUGAACAAGUAAUUGUCAGCUUUUUUUGGGUUUCUUAUUAAAAUCAGUGUGUAAUCGUGGUCACAUUUCAGAUGAGUUUAGCAGCUGCAACAAACAAAUUUUUCCCUCUAAAAUUUGAACACAGUUUCAUUUUAGCAAAUUGUCAACUAUCUGACUAAUAAUCAGAGAUGACAGAAAAAGUCAAAGAGCAGAUUUCAUUUCUCUCCCAUUAGCCAUCUGAACAGAUUUAUCAGCUGUCCCUGUCUAUAAAACUAUAUAUAAAGUUUUUCUAACCCACUUAUGCUGCAGUACAAGCAAUCUGCAGAUGUCAUAUAUAAUAAUAUAUCAGAAAAACAGCACUUUUCCUUUAAUCAUAAACCCAAAUUUUAUGUAAGUUUGAUUUUUCAUGCAGGACUUUUACUUGCAAAUGAGUAUUUUUGCAUUGCAUAUUUUAGUAUCUUCUUCCACCACUACUAAAGACCCUGAUAACAACUACAGAUGUAGAUUUGUAGAUUUUUAUUCAUAGUAUAUUUUACGUUUUAUCGUGCAUUGUGUGGCUUAGUAUACUUUCUAUUUUUCUAUUAUAGUUUAUAUUUUUCUACUGAGUUGGUGGUCACUUUACUCUUUCUGUUUGCUACUGAAACAAUAAAACUUCCCCUUGGUGAUCUAUAAAGUGUUUCUAUUCUAUUGUGUUCUGUUGUUGAUUCAGUUAUCUGUCAGUGGAGGUUUUUCUGCUGCACCACUCAUUUAAAGGGAAGCUCUGCUGGCUUCUGCUCGCUCUUCAGCCUCCUCUACUGCUGACUGCACAGACUGCAGCUCUCCUCUCACGUUCCUCCAGAACACACACCACAUAUGUUGUAUAACGUCCAGUGUACGUCUGCAUAAAUUAAUUAAACGCCAUCACAUUAAGUGCAUCCACUGAUCCAUUUGCUCGUUCCGAACAGGCUGCGGUCGUUGAAUCCUCUCUGUGAAGUUCCGGUAAACGCUUCGGCUCCGUUAAAUCACUUACCGGACCCAAUUAUCAGCGGACACGUGACGGCCCGCUUCUCGAAUUGUUGAGAAAAGACUUCGCUGCUGCUUCGGCUCUUUUCGGUAAGCGGCUCCGAAAUGUGACACCCCGUUGCCAUGGAAGCAAAACAACUGCAGUUACCCAUAUAUGGCCAGGAGGAAGUGCAAUACGGCGACGUCGGCUGCGGCGGCGUGUUGACGUCACGCACAGCACGCACACUCUGCGUCGCUGUGGAAUCGGCUUCCCUUGACCGUGACAAUAGUGGAGCGCAGAACGAGCUAUGAAUUAAUAAUUAACCCGCUGUUUGCGCUGCUCCUUCCAGACACGAUUCAGCCCCCAACGGCGGCACUUUAUGUAAUCCUGGAGCCCGAAAUAGGCGCACUGACAUCUUUGUGGACCGAGCUGAAAAUAAUGUUCUCCAGGUUCACCCUGUUCCCUCCCAAUGAGUUUUCUAAAGACAUCACAUCACACAGUCAGCACAUGGAACUUGUGAAGUUGUAGAUGUUCAAAGUCGCAUUUUCUUGAGCCUUUCAUAUCCAUUUUGGCUUAAAAACUGUAUGUUCAUUCAUGGCCUUGCAGCAAUUGAGGAAGCAUCUCCUCAUAUUCUGUGUUUUCGUUUGUUCGUGUAAUUUGCAUUUAAAGAUUCAAACGACCUCUUUUUCUGAGCACUUCGAGGAUGUUAAUUGCUCCAAUAUUAUCGAUGUAAUUUGCAGUAUUUCUCUCUAAAUAGUCUGUACAUCAGUUUCAGUAUCUUCUGCAGUAUUUCCUUUUUAUGUGCCCCAUUGCGUGUAUCAGUGUCAUUAACACCUCUAACUAUUCUGUUCUAAUUUUAUUUUAGCUUGCCUAUUUUUAUAUUUACUAAUGUGUGAUACUUUUAUUUCUAUUCUAUUUGGCACUGCAUGUAUUUUCACAGAACUGCAUUUUAUUGCAAUAUCUGACACAAGAAUUUCCUUCAGGGUGACUGAAGUUCUAUCUUAGCUUAGCUUGUGUAAAUGUUAGUUUAUCAUAUUGUAGCUUGUCUUAACUACCUUGUUUUUUGUUAGCUUAACUUAUCCUAGCUGAUUUUAAAUAAUCUUAUCAUUUCCUGUCAUAUUGUAGCUUAUCUUAUGUUAUUUUAGAUUAUUUUAUGUUAGCUGAU